CACCAGUUACCUACACUUGUAUUAAACUAUCCAAAAUAGAAAAAAAAGACUAACUCCAUAAACUCUUCAUCUAUAAAUCUCAAUCUCUUUUACUCUCUUAAAACUCAUCAACACAAAAUGGCUUUACAUUUCAACCAACUUCACCUAUUCAUCAUUGCUCUUUUACUUAACAUAUUUUUUUCCUCUGGCAACAGAUUAUUAUUAUUAUCAGAAGAAGAAACCAAGCCAUCAACAAUGCAUUCUGAAUCAUCAAAACCAGUUUCAGUUUCUCAGCCAAAUAUAGUAAUUGCACCAUUACUCCAAAACCCACCAUUUUUUAUUCCUAACCCUUUGCUACCAACAUUUCCAACACUGCCACCUCUCCCUAAAUUUCCACCUCUACCCAUUAUUCCAUUUAUGCCUACUAUACCAUCCAUCAUUCCUUCUUUUCCUUCUAACCCAACCAUGGCUCAUCCACCUCAUGCACUUAAUAAUGCAAACCCAUGAACUCAACAACUGCAAAAAAUAAAACUUUAUGAUUAAUUUAUUUUAUAUUAAGUUUCUUGAGUACUCACCUCUAGUGGUUGAGGGCUUAAGAGUAUAUUGCAUACAGCAAAUGGUCUUGUAUUAAUAAUGUUGGAAAAUAAUUCAUUUCUUAUGCUUAUGUUGUAGGGUGUGGUUUGAUUCUUAGUAUAAUUCAGUAAAUACAAAAAUAACAUUGUUCAUUUUAGUUCGGUUUAUGUUGAACUUUUGUGUAUGAAUUGUACCAUGAAUGUUUCGCAAAUCAUAACUCAUAGGAAAAAAGAAGUAUUUAACUACUCUAUUUAGAGGUUUAUGUUAGAAGAGCAAAUUUUUAUGUUCAUAUUUAUUUAGAUAAAAAAAUAUCAUAUGCUAUCUUUUUACUUGCUGCUUUGUUUAGGUCAAUACUUUGUUCUGCUAAAUUGAAAAUGAAUUGAGAAGGAAAAGGACAAACAGAAAUGAUGACAAUUAAUCAACUAACAGAAUUUAUUAGACUUGCUGAAAACAAGACAAAGUUUCAAAAGUACAUGAACUGGAGUAGUAACUAGUAAGGAACUAUAAGUCAGCUAAUCCUAAAGGAAACAAACAAGGAUUCUAUCUAGUGAAGUUCUUGUUUUACUUUUAAAACACUUGCAUUUUGAGUACUGAAGAUAAUUCUUACUGACAAAAGAAACUAGCAACAGGAAAGUAGUAAGAUUUUCAUACAAAUAUUAUUUUUUGGUUCAACCAUACAACUUAAUAAACUACAAACCUUAAACCAGACAACUUUAUUGUUUUGUUGGUACAAGCAUAGAACUUAUUUUCACUGCAUGCAUCCCAUCCAAAGUUAUGUAUGUCCAUGCAUGGUUACAUAGGUGGGGAUGGAACAAUGCCAGGGAUAUCAAAAGGAGGGAAAGAAAGAGGAGGGAAAGGGAGUGGUGGAAUCAUUGGAACAUCAAAGGGUGGUGGAAAUGGGAGUCCUCCAACUGGUGGUUGCAUUGGCCAUGGAAAUGGAAAUAGUGGUAAUGGAUGUUUCUCAUCUUUUACUCCUAUUCCCAUCUUUGAACCUUCAUUUCCUUCUACUACUUCACUUCUAAAUACUACUACUUCCUUCUCCUCUUUUGCCUUCUUAUUCUUGUUGCUUUGAUCUACUGCUCCUACACUUUCACUUUCAAUUGCUACUUCUUUGUCUUCAUUUGAUGGAUUCUUGAGUUGCCUAGCAUAGCUUAGAGUAACAUGGUUGUUCAUCACUGCAACCAAACAAAGUAGAAACAUAAGAUUCAAGGUCAUUCUGAAAAUUCUUUGACAAGUCAUGUUUGAGAGAGAUUUUAGAGAAAGAAAUUAAAAGAGAGGUUGCAUAUGUUGCGACUCAUAGAUGCAGGUAUAUAUAUAUAUAUAUAAAAAAAAAAGGAGAAAAGAGUGUAGAAAUAUAAGUGAGAAAAUGUU
rnacentral:lncRNA from 1 species